AUUGCUGCAUCAAGUAUGUUCUUGGGGACCUUUUGGCAUUUACAGUUCCUCAUUAUUUCCUUCUUUCAGGGGAAAGUGUAAAAGGUGACUUGAAAAAUCACAGUAGGAAAACUCGCUUCUGUAAGCAGGAAGGCUCAGGAUGGUGAGUGAUCUUCAAAGGCAAGGACUGGGAAAAUGAACAGAUAUCAAGAUCCCAGAAGUAGCUGAUGCAAAAAUCACAUCUCCCAACCAAAGAAGACAAGAGCCAUCAAGCCUGCAGAGUUUUCCUGUGUCCUUGAUGAACUGCAGUGCAGAUGUUUCUUGUUCAUUACUCUCUACAUCAAUGGAUGACUGCCAUCAAGCACCCUGAGCUCCUCUUUGACCAGAACAGCAAAAUAAAGCAGGCUAAAGUCAUCACAUAAAUGCUACAUUGCAGAAGUUACGUUUCUUUUGUUAAAAGGAGUGAAUUAAUGAAGAAAGAAUGAGUCUACAAGUAAACUCUCAGGUACAGUGCAUGCCUACUGAAUAAAUAAUUGUGAGGGUCACUUAGAAGCUUUGUU
rnacentral:lncRNA from 1 species